rnacentral:rRNA from 1 species
CAUAGGUUAAUGAGGCGAACCGGGGGAACUGAAACAUCUAAGUACCCCGAGGAAAAGAAAUCAACCGAGAUUCCCCCAGUAGCGGCGAGCGAACGGGGAGCAGCCCAGAGCCUGAAUCAGUGUGUGUGUUAGUGGAAGCGUCUGGAAAGGCGCGCGAUACAGGGUGACAGCCCCGUACACAAAAAUGCACAUGCUGUGAGCUCGAUGAGUAGGGCGGGACACGUGGUAUCCUGUCUGAAUAUGGGGGGACCAUCCUCCAAGGCUAAAUACUCCUGACUGACCGAUAGUGAACCAGUACCGUGAGGGAAAGGCGAAAAGAACCCCGGCGAGGGGAGUGAAAAAGAACCUGAAACCGUGUACGUACAAGCAGUGGGAGCACGCUUCGGCGUGUGACUGCGUACCUUUUGUAUAAUGGGUCAGCGACUUAUAUUCUGUAGCAAGGUUAACCGAAUAGGGGAGCCGAAGGGAAACCGAGUCUUAACUGGGCGUUAAGUUGCAGGGUAUAGACCCGAAACCCGGUGAUCUAGCCAUGGGCAGGUUGAAGGUUGGGUAACACUAACUGGAGGACCGAACCGACUAAUGUUGAAAAAUUAGCGGAUGACUUGUGGCUGGGGGUGAAAGGCCAAUCAAACCGGGAGAUAGCUGGUUCUCCCCGAAAGCUAUUUAGGUAGCGCCUCGUGAAUUCAUCUCCGGGGGUAGAGCACUGUUUCGGCAAGGGGGUCAUCCCGACUUACCAACCCGAUGCAAACUGCGAAUACCGGAGAAUGUUAUCACGGGAGACACACGGCGGGUGCUAACGUCCGUCGUGAAGAGGGAAACAACCCAGACCGCCAGCUAAGGUCCCAAAGUCAUGGUUAAGUGGGAAACGAUGUGGGAAGGCCCAGACAGCCAGGAUGUUGGCUUAGAAGCAGCCAUCAUUUAAAGAAAGCGUAAUAGCUCACUGGUCGAGUCGGCCUGCGCGGAAGAUGUAACGGGGCUAAACCAUGCACCGAAGCUGCGGCAGCGACGCUUAUGCGUUGUUGGGUAGGGGAGCGUUCUGUAAGCCUGUGAAGGUAUGCUGUGAGGCAUGCUGGAGGUAUCAGAAGUGCGAAUGCUGACAUAAGUAACGAUAAAGCGGGUGAAAAGCCCGCUCGCCGGAAGACCAAGGGUUCCUGUCCAACGUUAAUCGGGGCAGGGUGAGUCGACCCCUAAGGCGAGGCCGAAAGGCGUAGUCGAUGGGAAACAGGUUAAUAUUCCUGUACUUGGUGUUACUGCGAAGGGGGGACGGAGAAGGCUAUGUUGGCCGGGCGACGGUUGUCCCGGUUUAAGCGUGUAGGCUGGUUUUCCAGGCAAAUCCGGAAAAUCAAGGCUGAGGCGUGAUGACGAGGCACUACGGUGCUGAAGCAACAAAUGCCCUGCUUCCAGGAAAAGCCUCUAAGCAUCAGGUAACAUCAAAUCGUACCCCAAACCGACACAGGUGGUCAGGUAGAGAAUACCAAGGCGCUUGAGAGAACUCGGGUGAAGGAACUAGGCAAAAUGGUGCCGUAACUUCGGGAGAAGGCACGC